rnacentral:rRNA from 2 species
UUGGAAACAGGUGCUAAUACCGUAUAACAACCAAAACCACCUGGUUUUGGUUUAAAAGACGGCUUCGGCUGUCACUUUAGGAUGGACCCGCGGCGUAUUAGCUUGUUGGUAAGGUAACGGCUUACCAAGGCGAUGAUACGUAGCCGACCUGAGAGGGUAAUCGGCCACAUUGGGACUGAGACACGGCCCAAACUCCUACGGGAGGCAGCAGUAGGGAAUCUUCCACAAUGGACGAAAGUCUGAUGGAGCAACGCCGCGUGAGUGAUGAAGGGUUUCGGCUCGUAAAACUCUGUUGUUGGAGAAGAACAGGUGUCAGAGUAACUGUUGACAUCUUGACGGUAUCCAACCAGAAAGCCACGGCUAACUACGUGCCAGCAGCCGCGGUAAUACGUAGGUGGCAAGCGUUGUCCGGAUUUAUUGGGCGUAAAGCGAGCGCAGGCGGUUUUUUAGGUCUGAUGUGAAAGCCUUCGGCUUAACCGGAGAAGUGCAUCGGAAACCGGGAGACUUGAGUGCAGAAGAGGACAGUGGAACUCCAUGUGUAGCGGUGAAAUGCGUAGAUAUAUGGAAGAACACCAGUGGCGAAAGCGGCUGUCUGGUCUGUAACUGACGCUGAGGCUCGAAAGCAUGGGUAGCGAACAGGAUUAGAUACCCUGGUAGUCCAUGCCGU